rnacentral:rRNA from 1 species
GUAAUAAGAAGGAGGCAAGCGUCAUCCAGAAUAAUUGGGCGUAAAGCGCGCGCAGGCGGUCUUUUAAGCCUGAUGAGAAAGCCCACGGCUCAACCCAGGAGGGUCAUUGGAAACUGGCAAACCUGAGUGCCGAAGAGGUCAGAGGAACUCCAUGUCUAGCGGUGAACUGCGCCGAGCUAUGGAUGAACACCAGUCGGGCAUGCGACUUUCUCGUCUGUAACUGACGCUGAUGUGCGAAAGCGUGGGGAUCAAACAGGAUUAGAUACCCUGGUAGUCCACGCCGUAAACGAUGAGUGCUAAGUGUUAGGGGGUUUCCGCCCCUUAGUGCUGCAGCUAACGCAUUAAGCAC